rnacentral:rRNA from 1 species
CCCUUAGAUGUUCUGGGCAGCACGCGCGCUACAAUGGUCUUCGCAAACGGAUGCAUUCUCGAAGGAGAAUGCCAAUCUUGGAAUCUAUGCCUUGGUCGGGACAGUUGCUUGCAAUUUUUCGACUCGAACCAGGAAUUCCUUGUAAUCGUGAUUCAUCACAUCACGAUGAAUACGUCCCUGCCCUUUGUACCCACCGCCCGUCGCUCCUACCGAUCGAAGAGUUAGGUGAAUUGUUUUGAUCGAUAAGAUUUGACUAUGGUCAACUCUCGUUGUGAAAUUCUGUGAAUCUGACUGUUUAGAGGAAGGAAAAGUCGUAACA